ACGGGGCCCGCACAAGCGUGGAGCAUGUGGUUAAUUCGAAGCAACGCGAAGAACCUUACCAGGCCUUGACAUGCAGAGAACUUUCCAGAGAUGGAUUGGUGCCUUCGGGAACUCUGACACAGGUGCUGCAUGGCUGUCGUCAGCUCGUGCGUGAGAUGUUGGGUUAAGUCCCGUAACGAGCGCAACCCUUGUCCUUAGUUACCAGCACGGUUAUGGUGGGCACUCUAAGGAGACUGCCGGUGACAAACCGGAGGAAGGUGGGGAUGACGUCAAGUCAUCCAUGGCCCUUACGGCCUGGGCUACACACGUGCUACAAUGGUCGGUACAAAGGGUUGCCAAGCCGCGAGGUGGAGCUAAUCCCAUAAAACCGAUCGUAGUCCGGAUCGCAGUCUGCAACUCGACUGCGUGAAGUCGGAAUCGCUAGUAAUCGUGAAUCAGAAUGUCACGGUGAAUACGUUCCCGGGCCUU
rnacentral:rRNA from 1 species